GCGAAAGAAUGGCAUACGGGAGUUGCUGC
rnacentral:piRNA from 1 species